rnacentral:rRNA from 1 species
UACGGAAGGUCCUGGCGUUAUCCGGAUUUAUUGGGUUUAAAGGGAGCGCAGGCCGGCUUUUAAGCGUGACGUGAAAUGUAGCCGCUCAACGGCUGAACUGCGUCGCGAACUGGGAGCCUUGAGUGAGUACGACGUCAGCGGAAUUCGUGGUGUAGCGGUGAAAUGCUUAGAUAUCACGAAGAACUCCGAUUGCGAAGGCAGCUGACGAGACUGUAACUGACGCUAAAGCUCGAAAGUGCGGGUAUCGAAC